CCUACGGGAGGCAGCAGUGGGGAAUAUUGGGCAAUGGGCGCAAGCCUGACCCAGCAAUGCCGCGUGAAGGAAGAAGGCGUGCGGGUGGUAAACGUCUGUGACAGGGGAAGAGCAGAAGACGGGACCCGGAAAACAAGCCACGGCUAACUACGGGCCAGCAGCCGCGGUAAUACGUAGGUGGCAAGCGUUGGCCGGAUUGACGGGGUGGAAAGGGCGUGUAGGCGGGAAGGCAAGGCAGAGGUGAAAUCCGGAGGCGCAACCUCCGAAUUGCAUUUGAAACUGUUUUUCUUGAGUACUGGAGCGGCAGCCGGACUUCCUUUUGUAGCGGUUACAUGCGUAGUUAU
rnacentral:rRNA from 1 species